UACAGAGGUCCCAAGCGUUGUUCGGAUUCAUUGGGCGUAAAGGGUGCGUAGGUGGCGCGGUAAGUCGGGUGUGAAAUCUCGGGGCUUAACUCCGAAACUGCAUUCGAUACUGCCGUGCUUGAGGACUGGAGAGGAGACUGGAAUUUACGGUGUAGCGGUGAAAUGCGUAGAUAUCGUAAGGAAGACCAGUGGCGAAGGCGGGUCUCUGGACAGUUCCUGACGCUGAGGCACGAAGGUCAGGGGAGCAAACGGG
rnacentral:rRNA from 1 species